UGGAAAUUCAUCAUUAAAAUUGUAAUAUUUAAAUAAUAUUACUUUAGAAUAAUGUGCAUUUUUUCCAUAUAAGGACAUUGUAAUCUAUUAGCAUAUCCCAAAUUUAUCAUAAAAUAUAACUUAUAGUUUAUUCCAAUUAAAUUGCUUGCAUUUUAACACAGAAUAAAUGUUAUUAAUUUGAUAAAGUGCUGAUAGAUUUAUAUUAUUACAGAGCGUUAAUUUUUCGGAAUUAUAUAAUGGCAUAAUUAUCAUUGAUUUUUGUGUUUAUUAUAUGCUCUUGUAUGAUUAACAAUGCGAAAGAUUCAGGAUACCUUCGGGACCCGUCUUGAAACACGGACCAAGGAGUCUAACAUAUGUGCAAGUUAUUGGGAUGUAAACCUAAUAGCGUAAUUAACUUGACUAAUAAUGGGAUUAGUUUUUUAGCUAUUUAUAGCUAAUUAACACAAUCCCGGGGCGUUCUAUAUAGUUAUGUAUAAUGUAUAUUUAUAUUAUUUAUGCCUCUAACUGGAACGUACCUUGAGCAUAUAUGCUGUGACCCGAAAGAUGGUGAACUAUACUUGAUCAGGUUGAAGUCAGGGGAAACCCUGAUGGAAGACCGAAACAGUUCUGACGUGCAAAUCGAUUGUCAGAAUUGAGUAUAGGGGCGAAAGACCAAUCGAACCAUCUAGUAGCUGGUUCCUUCCGAAGUCUCCUCAGGAUAGCUGGUGCAUUUUAAUAUUAUAUAAAAUAAUCUUAUCUGGUAAAGCGAAUGAUUAGAGGUCUUAGGGUCGAAACGAUCUUUACCUAUUCUCAAACUUUAAAUGGGUAAGAACCUUAACUUUCUUGAUAUGAAGUUCAAGGUUAUGAUAUAAUUGCCAAGUGGGCCACUUUUGGUAAGCAGAACUGGCGCUGUGGGAUGAACCAAACGUAAUGUUACGGUGCCCAAAUUAACAACUCAUGCAGAUACCAUGAAAGGCGUUGGUUGCUUAAAACAGCAGGACGGUGAUCAUGGAAGUCGAAAUCCGCUAAGGAGUGUGUAACAACUCACCUGCCGAAGCAACUAGCCCUUAAAAUGGAUGGCGCUUAAGUUGUAUACCUAUACAUUCCCGCUAAAGUAGAUGAUUUAUAUUACUUGUGAUAUAAAUUUUGAAACUUUAGUGAGUAGGAAGGUACAAUGGUAUGCGUAGAAGUGUUUGCGUAAGCCUGCAUGGAGCUGCCAUUGGUACAGAUCUUGGUGGUAGUAGCAAAUAAUCGAAUGAGACCUUGGAGGACUGAAGUGGAGAAGGGUUUCGUGUGAACAGUGGUUGAUCACGAGUUAGUCGGUCCUAAGUUCAAGGCGAAAGCCGAAAAUUGUCAAGUAAAACAAAAAUGCCUAACUAUAUAAACAAAGCGAAUAUAAUACACUUGAAUAAUUUUGAACGAAAGGGAAUACGGUUCCAAUUCCGUAACCUGUUGAGUAUCCGUUUGUUAUUAAAUAUGGGCCUCGUGCUCAUCCUGGCAACAGGAACGACCAUAAAGAAGCCGUCGAGAGAUAUCGGAAGAGUUUUCUUUUCUGUUUUAUAGCCGUACUACCAUGGAAGUCUUUCGCAGAGAGAUAUGGUAGAUGGGCUAGAAGAGCAUGACAUAUACUGUUGUGUCGAUAUUUUCUCCUCGGACCUUGAAAAUUUAUGGUGGGGACACGCAAACUUCUCACCAGGCAGUACCAAUAUCCGCAGCUGGUCUCCAAGGUGAACCGUCUAAUCGUCGAUAGAAUAAUGUAGGUAACGGAAGUCGGCAA
rnacentral:ncRNA from 1 species